rnacentral:rRNA from 1 species
GAUGAACGCUGGCGGCGUGCCUAAUACAUGCAAGUCGAACGCGCAGCGAAAGGUGCUUGCACCUUUCAAGCGAGUGGCGAACGGGUGAGUAACACGUGGAUAACCUGCCUCAAGGCUGGGGAUAACAUUGGGAAACAGAUGCUAAUACCGAAUAAAACUUAGUAUCGCAUGAUACAAAGUUGAAAGGCGCUAGGGAGACACCUAGAGAUGGGUCCGCGGUGCAUUAGUUAGUUGGGGGGGUAAAGGCCUACCAAGACAAUGAUGCAUAGCCGAGUUGAGAGACGGAUCGGCCACAUUGGGGCGGAGACACGGCCCAAACUCCUACGGGAGGCUGCAGUAGGGAAUCUUCCACAAUGGGCGAAAGCCUGAUGGAGCAACGCCGCGUGUGUGAUGAAGGCUUUAGGGUCGUAAAGCACUGUUGUAUGGGAAGAAAUGCUAGAAUAGGGAAUGAUUCUAGUUCGACGGUACCAUACCAGAAAGGGACGGCUAAAUACGUGCCAGCAGCCGCCGCUG